rnacentral:ncRNA from 4 species
UACGGAGGAUCCGAGCGUUAUCCGGAUUUAUUGGGUUUAAAGGGAGCGUAGGCGGACGCUUAAGUCAGUUGUGAAAGUUUGCGGCUCAACCGUAAAAUUGCAGUUGAUACUGGGUGUCUUGAGUACAGUAGAGGCAGGCGGAAUUCGUGGUGUAGCGGUGAAAUGCUUAGAUAUCACGAAGAACUCCGAUUGCGAAGGCAGCCUGCUGGACUGUAACUGACGCUGAUGCUCGAAAGUGUGGGUAUCAAACAGG